rnacentral:rRNA from 2 species
GCUGAAUGUACUGGAAGAAUAAGGAUCGGCUAACUCCGUGCCAGCAGCCGCGGUAAUACGGAGGAUCCGAGCGUUAUCCGGAUUUAUUGGGUUUAAAGGGUGCGUAGGCGGCCUGUUAAGUCAGGGGUGAAAUACGGUGGCUCAACCAUCGCAGUGCCUUUGAUACUGACGGGCUUGAAUCCAUUUGAAGUGGGCGGAAUAAGACAAGUAGCGGUGAAAUGCAUAGAUAUGUCUUAGAACUCCGAUUGCGAAGGCAGCUCACUAAGCUGGUAUUGACGCUGAUGCACGAAAGCGUGGGGAUCGAACAGGAUUAGAUACCCUGGUAGUCCACGCCCUAAACGAUGAUAACUCGAUGUUGGCGAUAGACCGCCAGCGUCCAAGCGAAAGCGUUAAGUUAUCCACCUGGGGAGUACGCCCGCAAGGGUGAAACUCAAAGGAAUUGACGGGGGCCCGCACAAGCGGAGGAGCAUGUGGUUUAAUUCGAUGAUACGCGAGGAACCUUACCCGGGCUUGAAAGUUAGUGAAGGAUGCAGAGACGCAUCCGUCCUUCGGGACACGAAACUAGGUGCUGCAUGGCUGUCGUCAGCUCGUGCCGUGAGGUGUUGGGUUAAGUCCCGCAACGAGCGCAACCCCUAUGUUUAGUUGCCAGCAAGUAAUGUUGGGGACUCUAAACAGACUGCCUGCGCAAGCAGAGAGGAAGGUGGGGACGACGUCAAGUCAUCAUGGCCCUUACGUCCGGGGCUACACACGUGCUACAAUGGAUGGUACAGCGGGCAGCUACAUAGCAAUAUGGUGCUAAUCUCUAAAAGCCAUUCACAGUUCGGAUUGGGGUCUGCAACUCGACCCCAUGAAGUUGGAUUCGCUAGUAAUCGCGUAUCAGCAAUGACGCGGUGAAUACGUUCCCGGGCCUUGUACACACCGCCCGUCAAGCCAUGAAAGUUGGGGGUACCUAAAGCAUGUGACCGCAAGGAGCGUGUUAGGGUAAAACCGAUAAUUGGGGCUAAGUCGUAACAAGGUAGCCGUACCGGAAGGUGCGGCUGGAAUACCUCCUUUCUA